AGAUUGAACGCUGGCGGCAGGCCUAACACAUGCAAGUCGAGCGGUAGAGAGGUGCUUGCACCUCUUGAGAGCGGCGGACGGGUGAGUGAUGCCUAGGAAUCUGCCUAGUGGUGGGGGAUAACGUUCGGAAACGGACGCUAAUACCGCAUACGUCCUACGGGAGAAAGCGGGGGACCUUCGGGCCUCGCGCCAUUAGAUGAGCCUAGGUCGGAUUAGCUAGUUGGUGAGGUAAUGGCUCACCAAGGCGACGAUCCGUAACUGGUCUGAGAGGAUGAUCAGUCACACUGGAACUGAGACACGGUCCAGACUCCUACGGGAGGCAGCAGGUGGGGGAAUAUUGGACAAGUGGGGACGAAAGCCUGAUCCAGCCAUCGCCGCGUG
rnacentral:rRNA from 1 species